GACGAACCGUGCGAACGUUAUUCGGAAUCACUGGGCUUAAAGCGCGUGUAGGCGGGAGGGCACGUCCGUCGCUGAAAUCCCCCGGCUCAACCGGGGAACGGGCGCGGAUACGACCUUCCUGGAGGGGCGUAGGGGGACCUGGAACUUCCGGUGGAGCGGUGAAAUGCGUUGAGAUCGGAAGGAACGCCCGUGGCGAAAGCGAGGUCCUGGACGCCUACUGACGCUGAGACGCGAAAGCCAGGGAGCAAACGGG
rnacentral:rRNA from 1 species